rnacentral:lncRNA from 10 species
CGUGGCCAUACCACCUGUAGGGGAUUUUCUUACGAAAUCUAAGCUGUGGGAAAUGGGAAAUUGCGUAAAAAUCUGGGUUGGGUGAUUUAAAAAAAAAGCAGGGGCUGGGCAUAGGCAGUAAUAUAAGGCAAGAUGGCUAAGGAAGAAGGUGGGCAGCGGAGCCGGUGAAGGAAGCCGCAGGCGCGGAUGGAGGCGAAGAGAUCAGGAGCAGUAAAGGAACACUCUCUUCCCCAGUCAGCUGGGAUACGGAUUUUGUAAGGCCUAGGGACUUUGUCUUUGGAGGUCCUGUCUCCAUAAGGCUUCCCAAAACAAAGAAUGUUCAGAUUGGACUGGCCUUAAAAUGCAGUAUUUAAAACAGCAACAUGUCUGACAGAUCCGAGAAAUGAAAUACGUCCAUUUCUUUUGGCAAGGAGCAGAAGGCAACAUAAAGCAGCUGCAAGAAUUAAUUCAUGGAGAUAGUUGACAUUUUCGAGCUGACUGCCUCUUAGAGAAAAUGAUGUCAUUCUCCAGCAGCCUAAUGACAGUCAUCAGCCUGAGAGGACACAUGCUAAUAAGACUAUCACCAGCAAAGAAUUUUCUGAGCAAAUGUGUACUGGAGACCUUCUGAGGAACCCACUAGAGCCUGCACAUCCCCUUUUCCUAGCAAGGUCAACUGGAAAACAGGUCUUACUGCCUAUUAGAGCAAAGGAAGAGGAAAUCUUUGGCUAACCGGUCAGAGAAAACAACUGGAUUAAACAAGAUACUCUUCAUGACUGUGGUUGCAAAAAUGCAACACAACUUUUAAAAAUCUUAGUACUAAUUUUUAAAAAUGGCUUUUAAUUUGGGGGAGACUCGAUAACAGAACCCGAAAAUCUGAUGAAUUGUAUGAACAUUUUGUUCAGAAAAAUAAACAUAUAUUACCAGAAAAUUUCAUAUGUGAUUCAAGAAGUCCACAGAAGUUCCAUGUUGUAAGUAAUUAGAAAAUAAGAAUUCUGAAUUGUUAAAAUAAAAUUUAAUGUUCAACAUCAUUCAUCCAGGAAGUGGAAUUUUCCCUCUGUUAAUCAUAGAAAGAAAUGCUCUCAAAUUUAGGUGGAAAUAAAAUAUUUGUUGUUGGAAAUGUAUAUACUUCUGCUGCUUUUAAAAUUCCAGGCUUCAUCCAUAUUCAAAAUGCAAAAUAUUAUUAAAAUAAUCAGAGCUUUGACUUUGGAAAAGUCUGAAAUUGCACCUUGGCAACACUGGAUCUACUCCUGUCACUCCCCAAGUGGUGGUCCUUAAGUGUUAGUGUGCUUGAGAAUUAACUACAGAGAUUGUCUAAAAUUACCAGUUUCUAGGAUGAGCCCACCAAUCUGUGUUUUAACAGGAGCUCCAGAAAAU